rnacentral:rRNA from 1 species
CAAAUCCGGAAAAUCAAGGCUGAGGCGUGAUGACGAGGCACUACGGUGCUGAAGCAACAAAUGCCCUGCUUCCAGGAAAAGCCUCUAAGCAUCAGGUAACAUCAAAUCGUACCCCAAACCGACACAGGUGGUCAGGUAGAGAAUACCAAGGCGCUUGAGAGAACUCGGGUGAAGGAACUAGGCAAAAUGGUGCCGUAACUUCGGGAGAAGGCACGCUGAUAUGUAGGUGAAGUCCCUCGCGGAUGGAGCUGAAAUCAGUCGAAGAUACCAGCUGGCUGCAACUGUUUAUUAAAAACACAGCACUGUGCAAACACGAAAGUGGACGUAUACGGUGUGACGCCUGCCCGGUGC